GGCUGCUCCAAAGGUAGUGAGUUCUUGAUUGUUUACAGUCAGUUACGGAUGGAACUCCUUGUUCUACUUUUCCCCCCUUCUCACUACUGCACUUGACUAGUCUUAU
rnacentral:Y_RNA from 1 species